rnacentral:rRNA from 1 species
AGAGAGAGACAUGCGCGCAUAUCAAUAAGCGGAGGAAAAGAAACUAACAAGGAUUCCCCUAGUAACGGCGAGUGAAGCGGGAAGAGCUCAAAUUUGAAAUCUUAAAGGGUUUCCCUUUACGAAUUGUAGUUUAAAGAAGUGUUUUCUGUUGAGGUUUUGGUAAAAGUUCUUUGGAAUAGGACAUCAUAGAGGGUGAGAAUCCCGUAUUUGACCUUUACUUUCAACUUUGUGAUACACUUUCAAAGAGUCGGAUUGUUUGGGAAUGCAGUCCAAAAUGGGUGGUAAAUUUCAUCUAAAGCUAAAUAUUGGCGAGAGACCGAUAGCGAACAAGUACCGUGAGGGAAAGAUGAAAAGAACUUUGAAAAGAGAGUUAAACAGUACGUGAAAUUGUCAAAAGGGAAGCGUUUGACACCAGUGUUGUUUUUCUGAAAAUCAAUUAAAGAACUGUUUAUGCUAAGUUGUUUAGACUUUAUCAGCUAACUGUUUAGUUUUGAGCUUUUCUUUAAUGCACUUUUCAGUUAACAAGUCAACAUCAAUUUCUUUUGCUGUAAAAAAGCUUGAGGAAGGUGGCUUGAGAUUCGUCUUAAGUGUUUAUAGCCUCUUGCCUAUGCAGUCGGAGAGAUUGAGGUCUGCAGCGUAGAUCCUUCGGGGCUAAAUGCAUUUGUGCUAAGUUAUAACAUUUUAUAGACAACUUGUUGACUAUGAUUUGUCUUGUAGCUUACUCGCUUAUGUUAUUUUACCUACGCUUAGGAUGUUGACGCAUGAGAUAUACGC